UGAAACUUAGAAGUUCUUGAUGUUCUGAAAAUAAAGAAGCAAUGUUUGAACACGAUGUUCAAACAAGCCGUCACUGAGCCAUGGAUGGCGAAUUGACGGCGGUUGCGUAUACAUAGACAGUGUAAAUCAGAACAUCUAGUACUUCUUAGUUU
rnacentral:ncRNA from 1 species